AUCUCUAGAAAUGUUUUCCGCGUUGGACCGCACACAAGUCUGUUGGAAUACAGCGGCAUAGUGGUGAGACCCCCGUAUAUGGUGCGGACGCCCAGCGCUUUGUGAUACAUUUUCGAAGAGUCGAGUUGUUUGGGAAUGCAGCUCAAAUUGGGUGGUAAAUUCCAUCUAAAGCUAAAUAUUGGCGAGAGACCGAUAGCGAACAAGUACCGUGAGGGAAAGAUGAAAAGCACUUUGGAAAGAGAGUUAACAGUACGUGAAAUUGUUGGAAGGGAAACGCUUGAAGUCAGACUUGCUUGCCGAGCAAUCGGUUUGCAGGCCAGCAUCAGUUUUCCGGGAUGGAUAAUGGUAGAGAGAAGGUAGCAGUUUCGGCUGUGUUAUAGCUCUCUGCUGGAUACAUCUUGGGGGACUGAGGAACGCAGUGUGCCUUUUGGCGGGGGUUUCGACCUCUCACACU
rnacentral:rRNA from 1 species